UCCGUCAUAAGCUGCAGAGGUUUUGAGGUCGGCUGUUUCUUGAGUAAAGAAUUCUGUCGCGAGCCGGCGACGCAGAGCACUGUCCCGCAGUGCCUCAAACCUGAAAGAGCAGCGGGGUAGAGAUGGGGCAGAGAGAAAGGAAGGACGCGGAGACAAGAGUCUGAUCAAGGCGACGUUUAUUGCAGGCAGGCAUCAGCCUUUUAAAGGAAAAGACCGAACUAUUAUGGGCUAGGAUUACCAUAGUAACCUCAACACCUGCUCCAGGGGAACGAGGGCAAGAGAAAGCAGGCUCAAGAAAAACAAAUUAACAACACUUGCAACUAAUAAUCAUGAUUCCCACAAUAGGUGGAGGAACUUAACAAAAUGG
rnacentral:lncRNA from 1 species